rnacentral:rRNA from 1 species
CCUACGGGAGGCAGCAGUGGGGAAUAUUGCACAAUGGGGGAAACCCUGAUGCAGCGACGCCGCGUGAGUGAAGACGUAUUUCGGUAUGUAAAGCUCUAUCAGCAGGGAAGAAAUAAAGUCCUUCGGACUUUGGACGGUACCUGACUAAGAAGCCCCGGCUAACUACGUGCCAGCAGCCGCGGUAAUACGUAGGGGGCAAGCGUUAUCCGGAUUUACUGGGUGUAAAGGGAGCGUAGACGGCAGCGCAAGGCUGGAGUGAAAUCCCAUGGCUUAACCAUGGAACUGCUUUGGAAACUGUGCAGCUGGAGUGCAGGAGAGGUAAGCGGAAUUCCUAGUGUAGCGGUGAAAUGCGUAGAUAUUAUGAGGAACACCAGUGGCGAAGGCGGCUUACUGGACUGUAACUGACGUUGAGGCUCGAAAGCGUGGGGAGCAAACAGGAUUAGAUACCCUUGUAGUC